rnacentral:rRNA from 1 species
AGUGAACGCUGGCGGCAGGCCUAACACAUGCAAGUCGAGCGGCAGCGCGGGGGCAACCCUGGCGGCGAGCGGCGGACGGGUGAGGAAUUCGUCGGAAUCUGCCUUUUUGUGGGGGAUAACGUAGGGAAACUUACGCUAAUACCGCAUACGUCCUACGGGAGAAAGUGGGGGACCGCAAGGCCUCACGCAGAAAGAUGAGCCGACGACCGAUUAGCUAGUUGGUGGGGUAAAGGCCCACCAAGGCGACGAUCGGUAGCUGGUCUGAGAGGAUGAUCAGCCACACUGGGACUGAGACACGGCCCAGACUCCUACGGGAGGCAGCAGUGGGGAAUAUUGGACAAUGGGCGCAAGCCUAAUCCAGCCAUGCCGCGUGUGUGAAGAAGGCCUUCGGGUUGUAAAGCACUUUUGUCCGGAAAGAAAUCCCUGGAGCUAAUACCUUCGGGGGAUGACGGUACCGGAAGAAUAAGCACCGGCUAACUUCGUG